rnacentral:rRNA from 1 species
UGGGAAGUAUUGCACAAUGGGCGCAAGCCUGAUGCAGCCAUGCCGCGUGUAUGAAGAAGGCCUUCGGGUUGUAAAGUACUUUCAGCGAGGAGGAAGGCGUUAAGGUUAAUAACCUUAGCGAUUGACGUUACUCGCAGAAGAAGCACCGGCUAACUCCGUGCCAGCAGCCGCGGUAAUACGGAGGGUGCAAGCGUUAAUCGGAAUUACUGGGCGUAAAGCGCACGCAGGCGGUCUGUCAAGUCGGAUGUGAAAUCCCCGGGCUCAACCUGGGAACUGCAUUCGAAACUGGCAGGCUAGAGUCUUGUAGA